GGGAGGUUGGGUACCAGGAUGCCGGGUCAUCACAUGCUGGGGUUGACGUAGGUCCCAAGGAGUGGGCUGUGCACCCCUGAAAGUGGGACGCGAGCGGUGUGCAGAACGGCGAGAGACAGUUCGGUCCCUAUCCGUGGCAGGCGUAGGAAAUUUGAGAAGACCUGUCCUUAGUGCGAGAGGACCGGGAUGGACGUACCUCUGGUGUACCAGUUGUCCUGCCAAGGGCAUGGCUGGGCUGCUAUUUACGGAAUGGAUAAGCGAUGAAAGCAUCUAAGCGCGAAGACAACUUCAAGAUAAGAUUUCCCACCGCAAGGGUAAGACCCCAGAAAGACAAUUUGGUUGUUAGAUCGAAGGUGUAAGUCCAGCAAUGAAUUUAGAUUAUCGAUAAUAAUAUCUCGAGGACUUGAU
rnacentral:rRNA from 1 species